rnacentral:rRNA from 1 species
GGGGAAUAUUGCACAAUGGAGGAAACUCUGAUGCAGCAACGCCGCGUGAGUGAUGAAGGUCUUCGGAUUGUAAAGCUCUGUCUUCUGGGACGAUAAUGACGGUACCAGAGGAGGAAGCCACGGCUAACUACGUGCCAGCAGCCGCGGUAAUACGUAGGGGGCUAGCGUUAUCCGGAUUUACUGGGCGUAAAGGGUGCGUAGGCGGUCUUUCAAGUCAGAAGUGAAAGGCUACGGCUCAACCGUAGUAAGCUCUUGAAACUGUAAGACUUGAGUGCGGGAGAGGAGAGUGGAAUUCCUAGUGUAGCGGUGAAAUGCGUAGAUAUUAGGAGGAACACCAGUUGCGAAGGCGGCUCUCUGGACUGUAACUGACGCUGAGGCACGAAAGCGUGGGGAGCAAAC